GUGAAUCAUCGAAUCUUUGAACGCAUAUUGCACUCUCUGGUAUUCCGGAGAGUAUGCCUGUUUGAGGGUCAUUAAACAGCAUCUUUCACCAUUUUUCUUGGUCAAAGGAUGUGUGUUCUCCGCGUUUAUAGCGGUAGCUUUAAUUAAAUGGUCAAGUCUCAUUUUAGUCGAGUCGCGUAAUAAUAUUAUUUCGCGCAAUCUUCAUUAUGUGACUAUCAAGUUUUGUUGCAUACAAAUUUGUUUUGUCUGCGAUUAAUACAAAUAUUUUGAACAUUACUUCAAAUCCUGUUGCAGUACUCG
rnacentral:misc_RNA from 1 species